CACGCUACUUCCGGUUUCCUUUCCCUCAGCUAUUCCAUGGCUUUUCGUGUGGACAAAUCGGGAGGUGGUGUAAACUGGUUUUUGGUGAAAUUCGGCUCGGCCUCAUGCGAACCUAUCUAGGUCCGUCUCUGGAGUGGCCUGUCAUCGAUCGCGCCCUCCAUCGCUGAGCGACACAAGUGGAACCCCCCAGGACUGCAUUCUGCAUGAAGAAACAGCUCAGAUUUGACCAAGAUCACACAAGUAGGAGUUGAGGAAUUGGAACCCACUAUGACUGACUCCAAAUUAAUAUAGUGUUUAUAGCCACUUACAUAAUAAUGAGGGUGUUGCUAUGCUUUCCUCUGUACAAGCUGGUGGUGUAUCAAUUCGUUCUUCCUUAACUUUGGGACUGUCACAGGGUUCCUGCAAUUCGUUUUUGACAAUGUUCAACAUAAUAUUCAAGGGGUUUUCAACUGGUGUCUUGCUGGGAGAUGGUGUACAAUCAAAUGAAGAUGUCUACAAAAUGAAAGGCCCUAUGAGUACUGAUGAAAGUUCAAAAUUCUCACAUUAAAUAACAUUUAGUCUUGUAAGACCCUUGUAUGAACAAGAGAACACACAUACAACCAAAUGCAAAUGAAACACCUGCCUCCCAACAAAAUGUGCCAUAAAGACAACCAGAAAUAAAAUAUAUAUUGCACGUUCAA